UGCCAGCAGCCGCGGUAAUACGGAGGGUCCAAGCGUUAUCCGGAUUUAUUGGGUUUAAAGGGCGCGCAGGCGGUCUUGUCGGUCAGGUGUGAAAGCCCGGGGCUCAACCCCGGACGUGCAUUUGAAACAGCAAGACUUGAGUACGGGAGAGGAGAGGGGAAUUCCUGGUGUAGAGGUGAAAUUCGUAGAUAUCAGGAGGAACACCGAUGGCGAAGGCAUCUCUCUGGGCCGAUAUUGACGCUGAGGCGCGAAGGCGUGGGUAGCGAACGGGAUUAGAUA
rnacentral:rRNA from 1 species